rnacentral:tRNA from 1 species
GACGCUGAUACCUGAUGGCCGGGAAACUGCCUGCAAAGCAGUUUGAAGUGGGUUCGAUUCCCACCGGCGUCU